rnacentral:rRNA from 1 species
UACGUAGGGUGCAGGCGUUAAUCGGAAUUACUGGGCGUAAAGCGUGCGCAGGCGGUCUUUUAAGUCAGAUGUGAAAUCCCCGGGCUUAACCUGGGAACUGCGUUUGAAACUGGAAGGCUUGAGUGUGGCAGAGGGGGGUGGAAUUCCACGUGUAGCAGUGAAAUGCGUAGAGAUGUGGAGGAACACCGAUGGCGAAGGCAGCCCCCUGGGCUAGUACUGACGCUCAUGCACGAAAGCGUGGGGAGCAAACAGG